GCACCCGGGCAUUUCGUUUAAGGACGAUCACGUACGUUACAAUUUUUGACAACCAGCAGAGUGCUCCUUUUUUUCGGUUUUUAUUUCCACUACGGUCUCAUGGUGGAGCAAAUUACAAAUUUAAAUAGUGUUCGAAAUAUAGCGAUCGCAAACAAGCACACAACUGAACGAGCAUCUGGUUAGCUUUGUGAAUUAUAAUACUUUCGAAAGCAACUUGAAUCUUCGACGAAAUGUGGGUUGUUGGCAAUUUUUGGCUAAUAGCUGGCGCUACUGCUGAUUAUGAUUCUUUAAAUUGAUGUACCAUCUUUCUAUACGAGCAAUUUUACACAAACUUAUGGACAAAGAUCGAUGAGUAGCCUCCCAAGGCCCUCAUGUUUUAACAUUUGUAUUAUUAUUAUAUAUUAAUUGAACAUGUAAUUAAUUACCGAAUUAUAAUAAAUUUUAUAAGCUACUGGCUGCAAAGACCUAUAGCUCUAUAUUAUA